rnacentral:rRNA from 1 species
UACGGAGGGUGCAAGCGUUAAUCGGAAUUACUGGGCGUAAAGCGUGCGCAGGCGGUCUCGUAAGACAGGUGUGAAAUCCCCGGGCUCAACCUGGGAACUGCGCUUGUGACUGCGAGGCUAGAGUGCGGAAGAGGGAGGUGGAAUUCCACGUGUAGCAGUGAAAUGCGUAGAGAUGUGGAGGAACACCGAUGGCGAGGGCAGCCUCCUGGGCCAGCACUGACGCUCAUGCACGAAAGCGUGGGGAGCAAACAGG